rnacentral:tRNA from 1 species
GCCUCUGUAGCUCAAUGGAAGAGCAGUUCCGUCCUAAGGAAAGGGUUGGGGGUUCGACUCCCUCCAGGGGCA